UCUCUUGUGUUAAGGUGCAUCUAGUGCAGUUAGUGAAGCAGCUUAGACUCUACUGCCCUAAAUGCCCCUUCUCGCACAGGCUA
ensembl:miRNA Mir18b microRNA mir-18b